GUGUUAAACAUUUCUGAGUUGAUUUCAACACCCAAAGAGUAAUUUUAACACAUUCUGAGUAAAAUGGUGUCCGGUGUUGGAGUUACUUGACAGAGUGUGAUCAUCAGUGUUAAAACAACUCCAAAGAGAUGUAAUUAUACUCCGCCCCCGCAUUUCCGGUCAUUGCUGGAGAAACCGCCGCCAUUAUCCUCGCAUGGGUUCGAACGAAUUUUCAGACUCCUUGUCUUCCAUAUCUGAGACGUCUGACUCAAGCAACAGCUCAAGUGCAUGGACUAAUCCCUAGCAAGAGACAAAUAACUGAGGAGACAUCUGCACUGCCUCUUAAACAGAUGGUUAAAGAUGUGUUAAAGUUCAAGUCUGGUGGUGAAGCAGUACUACAGGAGUAUCAAGAAACAGAAACCCUUACAGAUGCCACAAGAAGACAAAUGAUUAACAUACUGGUGGCUCACAUGAUUGAUACACAUGGG